CCCUAUUAUUUUUAUAGUAAAUUUUGUUUAAAGUAGUAAAUGAUAAAAUCAGGAAACUUAAAGAAUUUGGCGGUAUUUAUUCUAAUUAGAGGAAUAUGUUUUUUAAUUGAUAUUCCCCAAUUAUCUUACUUAAAAUUUUAUACUUUGUAUAUCUCUGUUUAAAAGAUUUUUUUUAAAAUAAAAUUUAAAAUUCUGAGAAGAAUUAAAUCAAGUCAAGAUGCAGGUUAUAUUUAAGUUAAAAUGUAUUACAAUAAAUUUUUAUUUAUAGAAUUUAAAAUGAAAAAUUAAAUUAAAUUGGAUUUAAAAGUAAAUUUAUUUUAAUUAUAAUAAAUUGAAUUAUGAAAAUAAAUAUGUACACAU
rnacentral:rRNA from 1 species